rnacentral:rRNA from 1 species
CAUGCAAGUCGAACGAUGAAGCUCCAGCUUGCUGGGGUGGAUUAGUGGCGAACGGGUGAGUAACACGUGAGUAACCUGCCCUUGACUCUGGGAUAAGCCUUGGAAACGGGGUCUAAUACCGGAUAGGAGCAUUCACCGCAUGGUGGGUGUUGGAAAGAAUUUCGGUCUUGGAUGGACUCGCGGCCCAUCAGCUUGUUGGUGAGGUAAUGGCUCACCAAGGCGACGACGGGUAGCCGGCCUGAGAGGGUGACCGGCCACACUGGGACUGAGACACGGCCCAGACUCCUACGGGAGGCAGCAGUGGGGAAUAUUGCACAAUGGGCGCAAGCCUGAUGCAGCGACGCCGCGUGAGGGAUGACGGCCUUCGGGUUGUAAACCUCUUUCAGUAGGGAAGAAGCGAAAGUGACGGUACCUGCAGAAGAAGCACCGGCUAACUACGUGCCAGCAGCCGCGUUAAU